rnacentral:rRNA from 1 species
GGAUGACCGCUGGCGGCGUGCCUAAUACAUGCAAGUCGAACGCAUAGCGAAAGGUGCUUGCACCUUUCAAGUGAGUGGCGAACGGGUGAGUAACACGUGGACAACCUGCCUCAAGGCUGGGGAUAACAUUUGGAAACAGAUGCUAAUACCGAAUAAAACUUAGUGUCGCAUGACACAAAGUUAAAAGGCGCUUCGGCGUCACCUAGAGAUGGAUCCGCGGUGCAUUAGUUAGUUGGUGGGGUAAAGGCCUACCAAGACAAUGAUGCAUAGCCGAGUUGAGAGACUGAUCGGCCACAUUGGGACUGAGACACGGCCCAAACUCCUACGGGAGGCUGCAGUAGGGAAUCUUCCACAAUGGGCGAAAGCCUGAUGGAGCAACGCCGCGUGUGUGAUGAAGGCUUUCGGGUCGUAAAGCACUGUUGUAUGGGAAGAACAGCUAGAAUAGGAAAUGAUUUUAGUUUGACGGUACCAUACCAGAAAGGGACGGCUAAAUACGUG